rnacentral:rRNA from 1 species
UAAAGGGUGCGUAGGCGGCCUGUUAAGUCAGGGGUGAAAGACGGUAGCUCAACUAUCGCAGUGCCCUUGAUACUGAUGGGCUUGAAUUGACUAGAGGUAGGCGGAAUGUGACAAGUAGCGGUGAAAUGCAUAGAUAUGUCACAGAACACCGAUUGCGAAGGCAGCUUACUAUGGUCUUAUUGACGCUGAGGCACGAAAGCGUGGGGAUCAAACAGGAUUAAUACCCUGGU